rnacentral:rRNA from 1 species
GUCAGUGUCUAUGUUGAUGAGGGUACACCCGUUCCCAUCCCGAACACGGAAGUUAAGCUCAUCUAUGCCGACAAUACUUGGAUGGAAGCGUCCCGGGAAGAUAGGUCGUCGCUGACU